UGAAGGGAAGAAAGAAAGAGAAAAUGGACCAAAAGAAAUUGCAAAAAGAGUAUAUAUUAUCUAGUUGGUAUGGAAUGGGAUGAUGAGACGGCAUUUGUCUUGGCUGAAACUAUAGAUGGUAAUGAAAGAGAGAAUAAAUUCCUUUGAAAAAAUACUUAUACAGAUGAAGCUAGAUUUAAUAACCAGUUUACUAAUGCACAAGCACCACAUUAUUUGUACGUUUUUACAAAAUUUAAAAUUAUU